AUUAAAUAUCAAAUAUAGCGAUAUCGGUAUGUAGUUCGUCGUAAGUAGGGAAUCAAAUCUUCGUUGUUGGUUUUAAAAUAAAUCUUUUCAGUAGACACUAUUGAUUAAAAGCCUUUUCCAAACUCUCGCUCUGUUGAAUAGACUAUGACUUUAUAUUAACGUAGCUGUCACUUAUUAGUUAAGUCCAAAAUCACUUUUUGAAAAC
rnacentral:lncRNA from 1 species